CUUUCUUUGCUGGCGACCGGCGCACGGGUGAGUAACACGUAUCCAACCUGCCGAUGACUCGGGGAUAGCCUUUCGAAAGAAAGAUUAAUACCCGAUGGCAUAGUUCUUCCGCAUGGUGGAACUAUUAAAGAAUUUCGGUCAUCGAUGGGGAUGCGUUCCAUUAGUUUGUUGGCGGGGUAACGGCCCACCAAGACUACGAUGGAUAGGGGUUCUGAGAGGAAGGUCCCCCACAUUGGAACUGAGACACGGUCCAAACUCCUACGGGAGGCAGCAUG
rnacentral:rRNA from 1 species